UAGGCGCUUUUUAAAAGAGUAGUAUCCAUAUCGGAAUAUACACCAUGAGAGUAAUACUUCUAAAAAGUGCUUCCCGUGAAUAUUGUCUCUUAAAAGUACCAUUACUAUUAAGAGGGGGGUAUAAUACGUUAUUGUUCAAAUAAUGUGACGACAACCUUGUUAAUACGCAGUAUUACAACGAGCCCCCGGGUAAAGAGAAUAAUGUAUAACCAAUUUUUAUAUGACGCCCUCUUCGUAAUAAUGGGCCUACAUUUCUAACGCCCGACUUUCUUUAAAAAAAAAAAAACGGACGAUAAUCUCUUUCCAAAAUGAUCAUCUUAUUUAUGGUUUAUUAUGCCAUGAAUUUUUUCUCUAAGACGAGUACCUUGUUUAGCCCGUUGAGCUCCCAGACAGUAUAACUUAUCAGUUUGGCAAAUAAAACAAAAGCAGUUAUGGGUCAAUCAAGUCAUGAUUACUCAAAUUUGCUUAUUUAUUCACAAAAUCCUCCUAAUAAUCUAUUUUUAUUUCGUAUAACCUUCAACUAUUGUUUAUUUGCAACUUAGUCCCUUCCACCCCUAUAAAUACCAUCAUCUUUUCUCACUUAGGGGAGGCCCAACCCCCCAUCAUUCUACUCUCUCUCUAAAAAAAAAGAGCUCUCAUUCACUCACUUUCUCUAAAAAAAUCAGUAAAAAAGGAAAAAAUAUAGUUCAUUCAAGUCAAAAAAUAGUUUUAGUUAAAGUGAAAUCAGAAAAAUCAAAAAAAAAAAUUAAGUUUUUAGUUUAAUUAAUAUCAAUAUUCAGAAAAUCAAAAAAAAGAAGUUAUUUAAUUUUCUUGGACGAUUCACUUUGCAGUCACUUUUUUUUAUUUCAAUUGAUCAUUUGGAUUAAUCUCUCAAACAUUGCUAGUCAGAGCCAAAGGGCACUAUACGUGCCGGUUACCUAAUUUGGAAACCAACUAGAAUUUGACCGACCACGGGCGAGAUUCGAGAGUGAGUGUACGUGAAGUGUGUUUUUAUUUAUGUAUGUUGAUCACCAAAAAAAAAAAUAUAUAUUUUUCUCAAAAUGAAGUUAAAGUGAGAAGGUGCAUAAGAAAAUUCAAGAGAAAGAUGGUGGAACUAUAGUACUAGCCAAUUUCUUCAUUUUCCAUUUUUUUUUUUGUCAAUUUGGUUGAUAAUUAUAUAAAAUAUCGUCACUUUUCAAAAUUCACAAAAUAAUUUUUUUACAGAAACUUGAAGUAUUUAUAAGACCAAGACAUUUGGAAUUUUUCAAAAAUAAGUUUUAUAAAAAUCACAAUAAAUCCUAAACUUCAGACUAGAAAAACUGCCUUUUUCAGGUUCCGAUUUCUUAUUUGGUGAAAUUCGACCAGGUUAAAUUAUUAUUUUCGAAAAUCUCAAAGAAUAUCAUAGAAAGACAAGAUACUAAGCUUUCUAAAUUGACCUCUCUCACCUCCACACGAUUUUUAUUCAAUUUUACAGAAUAUUUUCAAAAACAUAAAUCUAGGAAGACAGUUUCUUGAAAAUGACAGUUUCAAAUAAAUAAGUUUUAUUUUAUUAAAAAUAUUAAAUAAACUUUAAAAUCUGAGAUUUUUAUACACAUGACUCUAAAAUGUUUCUAAAGUCCAUUUUAAAAAUAAAAACGUGAUUUUGUUUUCCAACAAUUAAUUUAUAAUUUAAUUUGACUUCAAGGUCUCAAAAAGGAGCAGCUUUAAAGAAAAAUUAUUUAUAAAUUAUUUACUUUUUAUUUUGAAUCCAUUUUUUUAACACGUUAAAUAAAAAUCUUAUAUCUUUCCAAAAAAGUAUUAAACGCUCAAAUCCGAGUUCGGGAGGUCAUGGUACCAAAUUUAAAGUUCAACGAGAUGUAAUUUUCUCAACAGUUUUUUUUUUUUUUAAAGGAAAAUUGGUUUUCUCUUAUAAAAUUCGAUUCCCCCAAAAUAAAAUUCUAUUUUUCUUAAAUAACAGAUUAUGUAUUUAAUAAUACUCCAAACCCUUUACCACUUCGUUAUACUUACCUAAAAUCAAUUUAGGUUGAGUUAAGUAAAGUGGAAAAUUCUAAAUAAAUCAAAAUAUAGGUUUUGUUUACUUAGAUCCCUACUUUCCAAACAUCCAAAGCGAAGAAAUAUGAAGACUAAUCAAGGCAACAUGGUUCAAGGCGAAGGGAUCAAGACUUGAAGCUGCUCAUUAGAUAGGAAUUAUGAUUAUUGUAACAUUUGUUGUACUUAUGGCAAUUGUAAACUAAAGUUCCACCAUCAAAUUAAUAAAACAAUAAAGGAAUUAUCUUA